UCCGUUUUGUCGCAGGAUGUCAAACCCUGGUAAGGUUCUGCGCGUUGCGUCGAAUUAAACCACAUGCUCCACCGCUUGUGCGGGCCCCCGUCAAUUCCUUUGAGUUUCAACCUUGCGGCCGUACUCCCCAGGCGGAACGCUUAAUGCGUUAGCUGCGCCACUGAAUAGCAAGCUAUCCAACGGCUAGCGUUCAUCGUUUACGGCGUGGACUAC
rnacentral:misc_RNA from 1 species